rnacentral:rRNA from 1 species
GGGGCCACCCUACUCCCGUAGGGUUUAGAGUCGUCGGGCCUCUCGGAGAAGCUCGGUCCUGAACUCCACCCUUGAAUAAACUACCUUUGUUGCUUUGGCGGGCCGCCUCGUGCCAGCGGCUUCGGCUGUUGAGUGCCCGCCAGAGGACCCCAACUCUUGUUUUUAGUGAUGUCUGAGUACUAUAUAAUAGUUAAAACUUUCAACAACGGAUCUCUUGGUUCUGGCAUCGAUGAAGAACGCAGCGAAAUGCGAUAAGUAAUGUGAAUUGCAGAAUUCAGUGAAUCAUCGAAUCUUUGAACGCACAUUGCGCCCUCUGGUAUUCCGGGGGGCAUGCCUGUUCGAGCGUCAUUAUAACCACUCAAGCUCUCGCUUGGUAUUGGGGUUCGCGGUUUCGCGGCCCCUAAAAUCAGUGGCGGUGCCUGUCGGCUCUACGCGUAGUAAUACUCCUCGCGAUUGAGUCCGGUAGGUCUACUUGCCAGCAACCCCUAAUUUUUUUAAGGUUGACCUCGGAUCAGGUAGGGAUACCCGCUGAACUUAAGCAUAUC